GAUGAACGCUGGCGGCGUGCCUAAUACAUGCAAGUCGAGCGAACGGACGAGAAGCUUGCUUCUCUGAUGUUAGCGGCGGACGGGUGAGUAACACGUGGAUAACCUACCUAUAAGACUGGGAUAACUUCGGGAAACCGGAGCUAAUACCGGAGGAUAUUUUGAACCGCAUGGUUCAAAAGUGAAAGACGGUCUUGCGGUCACUUAUAGAUGGAUCCGCGCUGCAUUAGCUAGUUGGUAAGGUAACGGCUUACCAAGGCAACGAUGCAUAGCCGACCUGAGAGGGUGAUAGGCCACACUGGAACUGAGACACGGUCCAGAGUCCUACGGGAGGGAGCAGUAGGGAAUCUUCCGCAGUGGGCGAAAGCCUGACGGAGCAACGCCGCGUGAGUGAUGAAGGUCUUCGGAUCGUAAAACUCUGUUAUUAGGGAAGAACAUAUGUGUAAGUAACUGUGCACAUCUUGACGGUACCUAAUCAGAAAGCCACGGCUAACUACGUG
rnacentral:rRNA from 1 species